rnacentral:rRNA from 1 species
UACGUAGGGUGCAAGCGUUAAUCGGAAUUACUGGGCGUAAAGAGCGCGCAGGCGGUCGUUCAAGUCGCGUGUGAAAGCCCCCGGCUCAACUGGGGAGGGUCACGCGAUACUGAUCGACUCGAAGGCAGGAGAGGGAAGUGGAAUUCCCGGUGUAGUGGUGAAAUGCGUAGAUAUCGGGAGGAACACCAGCGGCGAAGGCGGACUUCCUGGCCUGUUCUUGACGCUGAGGCGCGAAAAGCUAGGGGAGCAAACGGG